GACGAACGCUGGCGGCGUGCUUAACACAUGCAAGUCGAACGAUGAUCAGGAGCUUGCUCCUGUGAUUAGUGGCGAACGGGUGAGUAACACGUGAGUAACCUGCCCCUGACUCUGGGAUAAGCGUUGGAAACGACGUCUAAUACUGGAUAUGAUCACUGGCCGCAUGGUCUGGUGGUGGAAAGAUUUUUUGGUUGGGGAUGGACUCGCGGCCUAUCAGCUUGUUGGUGAGGUAAUGGCUCACCAAGGCGACGACGGGUAGCCGGCCUGAGAGGGGGACCGGCCACACUGGGACUGAGACACGGCCCAGACUCCUACGGGAGGCAGCAGUGGGGAAUAUUGCACAAUGGGCGAAAGCCUGAUGCAGCAACGCCGCGUGAGGGAUGACGGCCUUCGGGUUGUAAACCUCUUUUAGUAGGGAAGAAGCGAAAGUGACGGUACCUGCAGAAAAAGCACCGGCUAACUACGUGCCAGCCGCCGCCGUAA
rnacentral:rRNA from 1 species